rnacentral:lncRNA from 1 species
AUGAAAACAACUGACGGAAAAACAAAAGUAAAAGUCUUGCCUCAGACCUGGCUCAGGGCCAGAGGGAGACUCCAUAGGUGGGCAAACAAAAGCCCUGCAGGUGGCCCCAUGCGGAGAUCAGCUCGCAGAAGUAGCACAACGGAGCUGCAGAGGUGGCGGUGAGGAGGGAGGGAGUGUU